AACUCUUGAAUUGGUAGUGGCUAGUGAUGUAGGAGAGAAUUGGAUAGCAUGCAUGUGUGACAUCAUCUCUAUGACGGUUUCCUUAUCGCUGACGUUUUCCCAUUUAUUGUCUGAUCUUUAAUGGUUCAGUGAUGGCAGAGAUUCCACAACUUGCUCGAGGUACAAACUGAUUGGUUAAGAUUACCAAAUAUGUCAGGACAAUAGAAUGAAAAAGGUGCAGAUCCAGGAUAUUUAAGUGUAAGGAAGUGCAUAGUGGUCAGAAAGAAUGGUAUUUAAGCUGUUACUUCAUUCCAAAUUUAAAUUAUGAAACCACAACUGAAACUGUUCAUUGAAUUAAAAACUCACUGCUUUAGAAAAUGUAAUUUCAUAUUAUGUAAUUGAGGGUCAAUGUUUACAUUCAGUGUUAAUAUUCAAGUUUCUUACUCUCUAGCAAGGGAAUCCAAGAUCAUUUCCAAAUGAGAAGACACUCAGAAAGACUAAAUAUAUAGUCAGUAUGACUUGUUAUGUAUUUAAUUUUUUUAGGCCAGAUUGUUUCAUAAUUGUUCAGAACCCAAGAUUUUUUUUCCCUCUUAGAUGAUUCGGAAAGGCGUUUUCAAAGACCAACAUUUUGAUCAAAAUCUUAAUUUCAUGUACAUAGAAGUUGAUAAAGUAACAGAAAGGGAGAAAGUUACUGUCAUGAGCACCAUAAAUCCGACUAAGGACCUAUUGGCUGAUUUGAUUGGGUGCCAGCGGCUUCCAGAAGAUCAACGUAAAAAAGUGCACCAGCUAAAGGACUUGUUAGACCAGAUCUUAAUGUUGGACCCAGCUAAACGAAUUAGCAUCAACCAGGCCCUACAGCAUGCCUUCAUUCAGGAAAAAAUUUAAACGAGAUGAAGAAGCUCUAAGGGUUUGAGUAAAUAAUACAAGAGACUGAAGAAAUUUCACAGCAGUCUAUUAAUGUGUGUGUGUGCAGGCCACAGCAGCAUGCCCUUGGUGUAGUCAGUGCCGAAAGGGGUCUGUUCCUUCUUGAGCCUGCCUGCCUGCAGGGAUGGUCUCCUCUUUUAAAGCAGGUUGUGUACAACAUUCAGUACACUGAAGGUAAGCUAAACCAUCAACAUAACUGGUGUUUUAAGAUGUUAUUUUAUUGGAACAAUCGGCAAAUGGAGGGAUAUUAGCUUUGCGGCGGAAUUCCCUGCAUGUGUGAUUACUGAUUAUUGAUUUUUGUUUUUGGUUUUUUUUGGCAUUUGCAACUGUGGCUUAGUUACAAUUUCUGUUGUGUUCAUCACAUUUAAAUUUUGAAGAGUAUGCUCUUGAUGGAUAGAGCGCCUUCAGUGUACUGUUUCUUAAUAACUUUAAUUUUUUUAAAUCAACUUGCUAUAAACUUUAUAUACAUUUUGUUAAAUAAAUAAAUACAAGUUCUUAGUGACAUAGAAACAAGGCAUAGUUUCAUUUAUUGAUUACAGAUGUCGAGGCCUACUGAAAGUCCUCAUAUUUAAAGCUUAGAAAACAAUGAAAUUUUUAACUAUUUGUAUGUCAUUUUGGAAGUGUACUGCUUUAUGGUAAAAGUGUUUUUCAUUUGUUCAUUGUUUUCAUUAUUUGUGAUCAUGUUGUCUUUCAAUACAGGCAUAAACCUUCCACUCUUGAGCAAAGCAGCUGCUUUUUAAAAGCGGUAAUUGCUUCUUUACCUUUUAUUUCUUUUGUAAAUGAAGCUUUUCUUUAAGAAUGUGACUUUAAGGCAUUGUCUAUUGCAUAAAACAGUUGACACUCACUUAUUGUAAAGUGAAGAUUGCUCUGCUGCAUGUAAGGUGGACCAUGCAGAUUUCUGUAUGUUUUCAGGAUGCAUCAUUAGAUAAUAAAGUCUUUUGUGAACAAGGCAUUUGUAGCCAUUUUUAAAAGAUUUUGUCUUCUGUGCUGGUAAGUCAGGUAAACCGUAAUAGUUAAAAGCAACUUUUUUUUCUUUAAUUCGUUAAUAAUAAAAGUAUUACUUGUUAAAGAUAUAAAGCUAGCAAAAUUUUAACAUUUUAUUAGUAAUUAUGAUCCUAAUUGUAGCAUCAAAAAAAAAAUCCUGCAAAUAGUUUCAGUGUAGUGAGAUUAUUCCUGUAGGUUAUGGGGUAUAAUUCAGGAUUUAACUAAUGUUUCUGCUAUUUUCUCACUUUUCCUUUUGUUGGUGCGGAAAGAGAAAAAGGAAAACGGGGCACAGGCCAUUCAACGCCUUCUCCAAGGGGUCUGAUUUGCUGAGACACCAGCUUCACCUUCUUUACAAGGUGCAGCUCAGUGGAAGAUGAUGGCAACCAGAAGACAUGAGCUAAGGGUGAGGGACUCUUCUGAAGAACCUUUCCAUUUAGCGAUCAAGAUAAUGGAAGCUGAUCUCGGAAAGUACUCAAGAUGUAUCAUAAUUGCUGGUGAUAUUUGAAUUGUAACUUAACAUUUAGCACCACCUGUUCCUAGUCCACUUACUGGGAAACAAUAAAAUAUAUAUUCACUUCUUUACCA